CUCCAUCCCAUCAUUAUCUCAGGAACGCUAUUAUAAGAAACCCAGGUUUACUGUACCGAGCUCACUGUUCUAAAAAUAAGUGUCUAAUCUGAGUAUUUGUGAGCUGAUAUCACACCUCGUGUAGCUCCGUGAUCGGAGGCUAAUAGAGCUAAUAAUUUCUAAUCAGCUAAUAAAUUUUUCCCCACAAUUGCAAUCACUUUUAGUACUGAGCAUUUUAUUGAUAGGAGAACAUUUCCUCAGAUAACGCGCUGCCCGUCUCACUCUCUGUCCUGGUUUUGUUAAAAACAAGACCGGUUCUCUUUCAGUGAUUUCUCUUUCAGCUCAGUUCUUUAGCUGGCUGUACUUCUCUGAGUUUUAGCUGCAUAUUUUUCCUCAGAUGCUGCACUCGGUGCUGAUAAGAGACCAAGGGAAUGCUGAAGAAGCUCGUGUUUAGAUCUAUGACUAUGGUAGCCAAGAAAGACUGAUAAGUUUUCCCCCGUUCCGUUGUGAGGGGGCGUUUGAGGAGGGUGGAUGAACAGGUGACUAGAACUGACCAGCGGAAGUUUUCCAUCCCAUAAUCGCCAUACCCCUAUGUAAGAGGGCGAUCACAGGGUCACGCUCUCUCGGCCCACGGCCGGCAUCCAGAGGCCCCGUCUGUCUGUCUGUCUGUGAUCCCCAGCCCUCAGGCCCCGCAUCCUGCAGCCAGGCUCCGCUUUGCUGGGCAGUCCCGCCCGGGACUCCCGGGGCCGGAGCUGCAGCUGCUGGAGCCGCCAGCCCCGCAGCCCCAGCUCUGCUGCGCAGUGACGCAGCUCCGCACCCAGCGCCUGAGACCGGCUUGAUUUUAAAAGAUGGGAAAGACCUAUUGUCGGGGAACACAAACCUCAGGAGACACACGUUGAGUUCUGUUCAUUCAGGAGAGCGGAGAGAAUGUUGGAUUACUACACUCCAUUCAAAUGAAUCGGCAUUCCCUGGUAAAUGGCUCACAGGACUGCAGUAUUAAAAGGGGACAACUCACCCCUCAUUCUGUUUUCUUCAACAAGAAAUCUGCACACGAAUGAGAAAAAUAAUGCCAAAAGCGUCUUUGAGAGUUUCAUUAUUGUAGAUACUUUCCUUAAAAGCUUAGGGUUUGGAAUCAUCUGAAUCAUUCUUUCUUUUAUAGCAAAUUUCUGGCCUCUGCGUUUGGAGAGUGUGGCUUAAUAUGAAACCUUUCAGGUGGAAAACAGGGUUACGUCUCUAAAUUCACUUAAAUUCCUCCUUAAAUCUACUUCUUUCAUGAUAUAUCCAGAAAACAGAACUCCAUGGAGAUUAAGAAGCCAUUAACCCUUCUUUUUUUUAGAGUUAGGGAACCAACACAUUAAUGCCAAAGCUGACCCAAGUGCAGCACAGGAGAGCUAGGAACCAACUCUCUGAAUCUCAACAAUCGUAACCAUAUGGCUGCCCAUUUUAUCAUCAUUAAGACACAUAUGGCAUGCCUCUUGUAUGGACUAGCUAGGCCAAGGAACAAUGUCUUUAGUAACUGAAAAUAAUCUCAGGAUGUCUCGCUUUCCCCGCCAAGAAAACACGUGCACCAAGGCCACACGGGGACAUCUUCCCAGACACAGGCUCCAACGUGAGGCGGCCACUUCAAUGGCAAGUUCAACCAAAGGUAUAUGACUGAAUAAAUUAUGUACUUUUCCUCAUAUAACAUAAAAAUACCAGUUUUGAAUGGAACUAUGACAUCUACCAGCCCAAGGAACUGGAAGUACCUGGGAACUAGAAGUAAUCAGGUCAAUUCACAGCCUAACAACAGCAUCUUCUUGUUUUAAUAAAUUGGUCUUGAAUGCAAAAAGGUCUUGAUAAACUUUUUCUAACCCCUCCCCAGCAGACGUGCUAAUGAUGUUAUUUAAUGAAUAGGAAACCCCUUUAAUUCUGUUUUCUACCAAAAUCGUAUCUGACAGAAUAAUGAAUCUAUAUUCAUUUAGGAAAAAAAAGUUUCAUUCUCUAUAUACCAAUGUAAUCAAAGUCUAAUAUAUAUUUAUCUAGAGCAACAUUUAAUUAUGUAUGCAACAAUAGCUAUUUAAUCAACCAUACUUUAUGAAACAGAUAAACAUAAAUAUAAACCAGCAGCAUAAUGAAUUCUUUCAAUAAGGUUUUUCUGCUUGCAGAGCUAAUGUUGCAGUUCUUACAUUUUUAUCUGGAGUAAUCCACCCACUUUCAUGAGAAAUGUAAAGCGGGCACUUUGUAGGCGAUAUAAAUCCUCCAUUUAAUUCUCUGCGCACUGUAAGUUUUGAGAGGGGGUAACAACAAGCAGCACGUGUGACGCCAGCUCAGCGACAACGAAUGAACCAAGGAACGCUUCUCCAAAACGCAAGAGUAAAAUGCUACACAUUUGCGCUUUGUCCAUCUACUCCUGCCUGAAUCCAUACAGUAUUUUAAACGCUCCGUCCACCCAACGAUUAAUGGCUGAUCGCUCUCUCUUUGCUGUGAUAUUGGAGUUCUACCAGGGCAAGCGGAGUGGGCUGGCCAAAAAGCCUGGAGGGGAAAAUUAAAUCCCCUUCUUAAGCAGCAGACUAGCAGUCUCCUCCAACAAAAGCUCUCCUUCCCUUGCUGGGAAUGCGAUUCAUUUUCCUCUAAAGCAGAGGGCCGGGAUUUCAAUGCAGAGAGACAGCCAUUACUGUGACAUUUCACAAGCCUGAAACCUUUCUUGCUAACCUAGAUCUGCCUCGGGGCUAUCAGAGACAAAAGAAGCCUUCUCCUCCAGCAAGCAUCAAAGACCUCUGGAAAAGCCAAGAGCGAGGGGGCAGGCAGCUUCUGUGGCACCAAUGCAAAAUAUAAAUAUAAUACAUGCAAAUUUGAGGCACGCAAAAAAUCACGGGACAUCGCUUGUGUGUACAGUUGUACUCAUAAAACCUGUAAUGCACUUUUUGAAUUAUUCAGCAAGAAGAGGCUGAAAAGCAGCAAAGAAGCUUAUUAUGUUUGCUUUGCUUCAUAGACUAUUAGGUGGACAAAAAGAAAAAGGAAUUUAGUUACGCUUGCUUAUCUCCUAACCUUAUAAACUUGGGAUUAACAGAUCAAAGGAGGAUUUGGUUCAGUUGAUAGAAAAUGGAGCUCUUUUAUAGCUGUUUGGUCUCCCUGUCCCUUAUGAUCAAAUAAGCUUAAGCAAUUGAUAAAAUAAAUGGAGGUUUGAAUUCAUGUGAUUUAGUAUACACAUUUAAUAUUUGUUGUAUUGCAUUGUACGUUUGUAUGUGAAAUUAAAUAACAAGAAGAUUAAA